rnacentral:SRP_RNA from 1 species
AGCCAGGCCCUACGCAAGCGGUCGCCGCCUAACUCCGCCAGGUUCGGAAGAAAGCAACGGUAAGCGAUCGGCCGCUGUGCCGUAGCAAGCCUGGCUACG